rnacentral:rRNA from 1 species
CACGUAGGGCGCGAGCGUUGUCCGGAAUUAUUGGGCGUAAAGAGCUCGUAGGCGGCCUGUUGCGUCCGCUGUGAAAGCCCGGGGCUUAACCCCGGGUCGGCAGUGGAUACGGGCAGGCUAGAGGUAGGUAGGGGAGAAUGGAAUUCCCGGUGUAGCGGUGAAAUACGCAGAUAUCGGGAGGAACACCGGUGGCGAAGGCGGUUCUCUGGGCCUUACCUGACGCUGAGGAGCGAAAGCGUGGGGAGCGAACAGG